CGUCCUCCGUCGGUGCCCUUUACGCACCACCUGAAGCAGCAAAGGAUCAUGGGGGUGUCCAUCCUGGUUGUGACCCAGGAUCGACUGGGCCGUGAGUAAAUGUCAGAGAUCACUGCCAGCACUGUGAUCAAGCAUGGCAGUGUGGAUGGGAGCGCGCCUCCUCUCCCCUCCCCAUCCCUGUCCAGAGACAUUACCAGCUUCCCCCAAGGACGUCCGCAAAGAUCCGGCCCUAAUUUAAUCCGACACAUUACCUGCGGAGUCUUAGUGCUUGAGCAGUUCCACUGAAGAGUCAAUAUCAAUCAUGUAACCUGAUGGCAGUCUCUCUGGACCAGAUGCCCAGCCUGUGGGAUACCUUACGGAGUCUGUCCCAGUAGUGUCCCAUUCAUGAAUAUGGAUCUCACUAGCCAGAAAAGGAAGGUGUGCUUUUUGAGCCUUCAACCCAUGCCAUCACGAUUCCCCACAAUUUAUACUACUCCUACACUCAGCACCUGUACUGUGUCAGACAACAUGAAAUAGGGGAGAAGACAUCUGAAUUGAGUGAUGUCACAGGACAGGUCAAAGGACACAGUGUGAAUGUGUUGUUGAAGUCUGGCCGUGAGCUCACCUGGAACAUGAUGCGGUACUGUUCCUCCGGCCGGUCCACCACACACAUGUUGCACCCCAUCUCGAACGGUCAGCGAUGGCUUCCGGCACUUUCCAGACC